UACGUAGGGGGCAAGCGUUGUCCGGAAUUAUUGGGCGUAAAGAGCGCGUAGGCGGUCCGCUAAGUCGGCUGUGAAAGUCAGGGGCUCAACCCUUGAAAGCCGGCCGAUACUGUCGGACUAGAGUCCGGAAGAGGCAAGUGGAAUUCCCGGUGUAGCGGUGAAAUGCGCAGAUAUCGGGAGGAACACCAAUGGCGAAGGCAGCUUGCUGGGACGGUACUGACGCUGAGGCGCGAAAGCGUGGGGAGCAAACAGG
rnacentral:rRNA from 1 species